rnacentral:rRNA from 1 species
UAGGGAAUCUUCCGCAAUGGACGAAAGUCUGACGGAGCAACGCCGCGUGAGUGAUGAAGGCUUUCGGGUCGUAAAACUCUGUUGUUAGGGAAGAACAAGUGCUAGUUGAAUAAGCUGGCACCUUGACGGUACCUAACCAGAAAGCCACGGCUAACUACGUGCCAGCAGCCGCGGUAAUACGUAGGUGGCAAGCGUUAUCCGGAAUUAUUGGGCGUAAAGCGCGCGCAGGUGGUUUCUUAAGUCUGAUGUGAAAGCCCACGGCUCAACCGUGGAGGGUCAUUGGAAACUGGGAGACUUGAGUGCAGAAGAGGAAAGUGGAAUUCCAUGCGUAGCGGUGAAAUGCGUAGAGAUUUGGAGGAACACCAGUGGCGAAGGCGACUUUCUGGUCUGUAACUGACACUGAGGCGCGAAAGCGUGGGGAGCGAACAGGAUUAGAUACCCUGGUAGUCCACGCCGUAAACGAUGAGUGCUAAGUGUUAGAGGGUUUCCGCCCUUUAGUGCUGAAGUUAACGCAUUAAGCACUCCGCCUGGGGAGUACGGCCGCAAGGCUG